AUUAUACUCCCUCCGUCGAAAAAUACUUGUCAUCAAAAUGGAUAAAGCAAGAUGUAUUUAGAACUAAAAUAUGUCUAGAUACAUCCCCUUUUAUCCAUUUUGAUGACAAGUAUUUCCGGACAGAGGGAGUAAUUU
rfam:Triticum aestivum genome assembly, contig: Triticum_aestivum_CS42_TGACv1_scaffold_031417_1BL